AUUGGACGCUGGCGGCAUGCCUUACACAUGCAAGUCGAACGGUAACAGGUUAAGCUGACGAGUGGCGAACGGGUGAGUAAUACAUCGGAACGUGCCCAGUAGUGGGGGAUAGCCCGGCGAAAGCCGGAUUAAUACCGCAUACGACCUAAGGGUGAAAGGGGGGGAUCGCAAGACCUCUCGCUAUUGGAGCGGCCGAUGUCAGAUUAGCUAGUUGGUGGGGUAAAAGCUCACCAAGGCGACGAUCUGUAGCUGGUCUGAGAGGACGACCAGCCACACUGGGACUGAGACACGGCCCAGACUCCUACGGGAGGCAGCAGUGGGGAAUUUUGGACAAUGGGCGCAAGCCUGAUCCAGCCAUGCCGCGUGCGGGAAGAAGGCCUUCGGGUUGUAAACCGCUUUUGUCAGGGAAGAAAUCCUUUGGGUUAAUACCUCGGGGGGAUGACGGUACCUGAAGAAUAAGCACCGGCUAACUACGUG
rnacentral:rRNA from 1 species